rnacentral:lncRNA from 1 species
CCCUAGGAGAUGCAUUUCCUGGUAUGAAUGAUUUCAGUUUUCAUUUGUUAGGUGACGCACUUCCUAACUUGAACCAUUACUCUUAAAAGACGCACUUUCUAGUUGAGUCAUUUCAUUUAAACCCUAGGAUACGCACUUGCUAGUCAGGGUAUGUCAGUUUUCAUGUGUUAGGUAACACACUUCCUAACUUGAGCAUUCACUCCUAGAAGACGCACUUUAUAGUUGAGUUAUUUCAUUUAACCCCUAGGAGACACACUUCCUAGUCAGGGUAUGUCAGUUUUCAUGUGUUAGGUAACACACUUUCAAACUUUGAACAUUUACUCCUAGAAGACGUACUUUCUAGUUGAGUCAUUACAUUUAACCCUUAGGAGACACACUUUCCUAGUUUGGGUAUUUCACGUUUCAUUUGUUAGGUAAUGCACUUCCGAACCUGAAUCAUUACUCCUAGAAGACAUAUUUUUUAGCUAAGUCAUUCCAUUAAACUUCUAGCAGACGCACUUUCUAGUCGAGUCAUUCCAUUUAACUCCUAGGAGAUGCACUUCCUAGUCAAGGUAUGUCAGUUUUUAUUUGUUAGGUAACACUUCCUAACUUGAACCAUUACUCCUAGAAGUUGCACUUUCUAGUCGAGUCAUUUCAUUUAACCCCUAAGAGAUGCACUUCUUUUUCUGGGUAAUUUAAGUUUCAUAUGUUAGGUGACGCACUUCCUAGCUUGAAAAUUCACUCUUAGAAGCCGCACUUUCUAGUUGGUUCAUUUUAUUUAACCCUUAGGAGACACACUUUUUUGUCUAGGUGAUUUAAGUUUCAUGUGUUAGGAGAUGCACUUCCUAAUUUUGGUCGUCAGUUUUACUUUGAAGAGAUGCAUGAGG